CAAUAGCGUAUAUUAAAGUUGUUGCGGUUAAAAAGCUCGUAGUUGGAGUUCUGCCAGGUGACGCUCGUCCGCCCAAGUGGUGUGUACAGGGCGUGCAUCUGGCCCUUUCAAGGGGAACGUGUCUGCACUUUACUGUGUGGUGCGAGAUCCUUGACUUUUACUUUGAGGAAAUCAGAGUGUUCCAAGCAGGCUCUCGUCGUGUAUAGCUCAGCAUGGAAUAAUAGCAUUGGACUUCGUUUCUAAGCUGUUGGUUGCAAGAAGCGAGGUAAUGAUGAAGAGGGAUAGUUGGGGGCAUUCGUAUUUAACUGUCAGAGGUGAAAUUCUUGGAUUUGCUAAAGACGGACUACUGCGAAAGCAUCUGCCAUGGAUGUUUUCAUUGA
rnacentral:rRNA from 1 species